rnacentral:snRNA from 1 species
GGAUGUGAGGGCAAUCUGGCUGUGAUAUCUGCCACUCUAUUGAUCACCAUGGUUCAAUCAGCUGACCUUGCUGGCUAGGCAGGUGUCCCCUUUCUCCCUCACCACUCCAUGCACGUCCCUCCAGAAGAUGCACACUUGGUCGAAGAGGAAGACCUUCACUUCUAGAGAAGGACCAUUCUUCAGUCAAGGGUAUACAAGUAACUGCACUCCCCUGCAAGAACCUCCAAACAAGCUUUCAAUUCAUUAAACUUUGAGCACCGACAUGCUCAGCGCUCUGCUAAAAGGUGUGGAAACUGAAAUGGAUAGGCAUGGUUCCUGUCCUCAGAAUUU